UCCAGACUCCUACGGGAGGCAGCAGUGGGGGAUAUUGCACAAUGGGGGGAACCCUGAUGCAGCGACGCCGCGUGAGUGAAGGAGCGUUUCGGCGCGUAAAGCCCUAUCGGCAGGGAAGAAGGAGGACGGUACCUGACUAAGAAGCCCCGGCUAACUACGUGCCAGCAGCCGCGGUAAUACGUAGGGGGCAAGCGUUAUCCGGAUUUACUGGGUGUAAAGGGGGCGCAGACGGCGGCGCAAGCCAGGAGUGAAAGCCCGGGGCCCAACCCCGGGACUGCUCUUGGAACUGCGCGGCUGGAGUGCAGGAGGGGCAGGCGGAAUUCCUGGUGUAGCGGUGAAAUGCGUAGAUAUCAGGAGGAACACCGGUGGCGAAGGCGGCCUGCUGGACUGCGACUGACGUUGAGGCCCGAAAGCGUGGGGAGCAAACAGGAUUAGAUACCCCCGUA
rnacentral:rRNA from 1 species